CCUACGGGGGGCAGCAGUGGGGAAUAUUGGACAAUGGGCGCAAGCCUGAUCCAGCCAUGCCGCGUGAGUGAAGAAGGCCUUAGGGUUGUAAAGCUCUUUCGCCGAUGAAGAUAAUGACGGUAGUCGGAGAAGAAGCCCCGGCUAACUUCGUGCCAGCAGCCGCGGUAAUACGAAGGGGGCUAGCGUUGUUCGGAUUUACUGGGCGUAAAGCGCGCGUAGGCGGGUUGUUAAGUCAGGGGUGAAAUGCCGAGGCUCAACCUCGGAACUGCCUUUGAUACUGGCAACCUGGAGUUCGGGAGAGGUGAGUGGAAUUCCGAGUGUAGAGGUGAAAUUCGUAGAUAUUCGGAGGAACACCAGAAGCGAAGGCGGCUCACUGGCCCGAUACUGACGCUGAGGCGCGAAAGCGUGGGGAGCAAACAGGAUUAGAUACCCGAGUAGUC
rnacentral:rRNA from 1 species